GCAGGGGUGGCCGAGCGGUUAAUGGCACCAGACUGUAAAUCUGGCACGCAACGCGUUACGAAGGUUCGAAUCCUUCCCCCUGCA
rnacentral:tRNA from 2 species